UGAUAGGUGGCUCCGUGGUUAAGGCUCUGGGUUCCUGAACAGAAGAUUGGGGGUUCAAGCCCCAGCCCUGCCAA